GAGGUCAAUAACACUGAUGCUGAGGGAAGGCUGACACUUGCGGAUGCUUUAGUUUAUACUUGCAACCAAGGUGUUGAAAAGGUGGUUGAUCUGGCAACACUAACUGGUGCUUGUGUAGUUGCUCUAGGGCCCAGCAUUGCCGGAUUUUUCACCCCAAGCGAUGACUUGGCAAAGGAGAUUGUCGCAGCGUCCGAGAUCAGCACUGAGAAGUUCUGGCGCAUGCCGUUGGAGGAGAGCUACUGGGACUCGAUGAAGUCGGGCGUUGCUGACAUGGUCAACACCGGUGGUCGCCAGGGCGGUGCUAUCACAGCUGCACUUUUCCUCAAGCAGUUUGUUGAUGAGAAGGUGCAGUGGGCACACAUAGAUAUGGCAGGGCCCGUGUGGAGUGAUAAGAAGCGAAAUGCUACUGGAUUUGGGGUUUCCACAUUGGUGGAGUGGGUUGUGAAGAACUCUUCAAGCUGAUGGACUUGUUAAGAUUAAGCACGGAUACCCAAUAAAUCCACUGGAGCCGAAAUUUGAAUAAGUCAAAUUAUCAUUUUAGCGUAUAGAUUGAACAAGUUGUUUAUUUUAAUUUGGAAAACUUCCUGAACUAUGAAAGCUGAUAAUUUGGCUAUUUAAUGUGGACUUUUAUUGUUAUUAUUGAUGCAAUCAAGGUUAAACUUAAGUUAAAA
rnacentral:misc_RNA from 1 species